GUUCCUUUCCUUAUUUGCACUUGUUUGUUGGUCAAAAUUUGGAGGGCUCUUCAUGAAAGAGAAGCGUCUCUGCACUGAGGUGAUCUGAGCUAUGAAAAGGCCCUUGAAAUCAUUACUGCUUCAUGUGUGGAACAUA